GCUUUAAUCAUCAUACAUGUCUGAAUAAUUGAAAGAAACAGACAAUUCUCUCUCUCUCUCUCUCUCUCUCUCUCUCUCUCUCUCGACUGAGACGAACUCAAAACAGAGCAGAGGCUCUCCAAACUCUCUCUCUCUCCUCAGGUCACCUCAAGGCCUCAGACCAAUUCCACAUCUUCGUCUCUUCCUUGCGCAGCUGCCAGUGGCAGCCUUACGCCCUAGAACAGCCGGCAGCGGCGGCGGAGAGCCGGUUUGUUUAAAACCCCGUUUUGGUUCCAAUCGAGAUAUCUCACGCUACCGGCCACCGAUCCUUGCCAAACUUCAUCCUCGUGCUUGCAUCAACCUACUGAAGCUCCCAGAAGCGUCCUUACACGGCGGCGCAGCCCGUAGCAGCAGCUGCAAGUCAACCCCGCUAAGAACGAAACCGGAGCUAUCGAUCCAAAUAUCUCGAGCUACAGGACGUCGUAUUGAGUGUUUCUUGGACUAGUGAACUCAAAGUGAGGAUCUGAACAACUUUCCAGAAGGGAUCGAGGCCUGAGGUUGCAGAUUUUACGUCGAACUAGGAGCUCGCCGGUUUCUGGGUUUUUUCCGGCCAACUCGACUGGUUCGAGUGGGUAAUCCUGCAGGUCAGGAGAAUCAGGGCGGUGAUCGUGCGGGUUAGAGUAUUUGUUAUAGAUUUACAGAAAUUGUAAUAGUGAGGUGAGUUAAGCUCAUUUGAGCCUUACAAUUUGAUUGGUGAGAGUGUGCUGUAAUAAAUAACUUGAGGAUUUGGUUUAUUGUAUUAUUGAGAGGUGUGAA